rnacentral:rRNA from 3 species
GUGAACCUGCGGAAGGAUCAUUGU